GAGCUUGCUUCUCAGCACAUAGACUGAAAUUGGAAUGAUACACAGAAGAUUAGUAUGGCUCCUGUGCAAGGCUGACAUGCAAAUUCAUGAAGCAUUUCAUAUUUUA
rnacentral:snRNA from 1 species